rnacentral:lncRNA from 1 species
CUUGAAAGAGAAAAAGAGAGACAUGCUAGUAAUCUCCAGAAUUCAUUUAAGAGUGUUAGUGAGUUAAAAUGUGUCAAUGAGAAGUUGGAAGACAAGGUUAAGAUAUUAACUAGUGACUUGGAGAAAUCUAAUACUCAUCUUCAGACUUUCAUAAGUGGAACUAAGAAAUUGGAUGAUAUUUUGGGAAUGAAUAAGCCUACGGGAGAUAGGAAAGGUCUAGGAUAUGUUGAGGGUAAUACACAUGGUGCUGGUCCAUCUAAAACUCUAUUCAUUUCUGCCUCUAGGAAGUCUAACGCUGUCAACAAUCCAAAUAAGGUUAAGAAUGUUUCGAGGGAACAAAGUCAUCAAUCACGUAGAAAUUUUAUGCCCAAACACCCAUAGACAUGUACCUUUGAGCCUAGAUUCAUUCCCACCUGUCACCACUGUGGAGCUUUAGGACACUAGGCCUACAUGUUAUAAGUUAGGCAAUGAGCGUAGAAAUCAGAAUAUUCCAAGUCAGGUCAGUUUUCUGACUAAUUAUGUUAGUCAUUUGACUGAGAUGCUUACUAGGCUGACUAGGAGUACCACGUCAUCUAAGAAAGUUUGGGUUAAAAAGGAGGAUCUAGCUGGACUUUCAGGUCAGGAAAAUUGCUAUGUUGCUCAUGUUGCAUUAAAAGCCCAAGAUUUCAAUAUGUGGUACCUUGAUAGUGCUUGCUCUAGGCAUAUGUGUGAUAACAAGGCUUUAUUCACUACUCUUGAUGAAUGCAAUGGGGGUAUGGUUACCUUUGGAGAUGAGGGCUCUGCACCUAUUCUUGGUAAAGGUACUGUACAAAUACAUGGUUUACCUGUGAUCUCAAAUGUGCUUUAUGUGGAAGGUUUAAAGUCAAACUUGUUAAGUAUUAGCCAGAUUUGUGAUGCUGAUUUUGAGGUUAGCUUUGUGGAAAAGAGAUGUAUUAUGUAUGAUUCAUCGGUGGGGUGGUCCUUGAAGGGGUUAGAACGUCUGAUAACUGUUAUGGAGUCCUACUUAAUUCUAACUAUGUGUGUAGGAGUGCAAAAAUUGAUGUGAGUGAACUCUGACAUAAAAGAUUGGGUCAUUUAAACUAUAAGAGUCUAGUACAACUGGCUAAAAAGGAGUUGGUAGAUGGUUUGCCUAAAAUAGGUCCUAGUGAAAAUGUUGUGUGUGGACCAUGUCAACUGGGUAAACAAAUUAAAGGAAUCCAUAAAAAGCCUUCUAAAAUUUUGACCAAAAGACCCUUGGAAUUGAUACACAUGGAUUUAAUGGGACCAUCUAGGACUGAGAGUCUAGGAGGUAAGCGGUAUAUUCUGGUUGUGGUAGAUGAUUUAUCGAGGUUCACAUGAGUAGAAUUGCUUAGGGAAAAAUCUGAUGCAUGUGACCUUAUAAAAUCUUUGUGUAAACGGCUUAGUAAUGAACUCAAUCACAAAGUGUCCAGAAUGCGAAGUGAUCAUGGAAAAGAGUUUGAAAAUUUCAAUCUUGAGAGCUUCUGCAUGGAUGAAGGGAUACUACGUGAGUUCUCUUCCCCUAUCACUCCUCAACA